AAAGAUCUAUUUACACAUAUGUGUAGUACGAUUGUAUAGAAAAUUUAUUGGUAUUAUAUAUCAUAGGUAGUAGAAAAUCAAUCAGCAGCGAAUAAGUGAGAGAAUCUUAAGAAUGAGAAUGCCGCCGCAAGGCAAACACAAGUGUUUCGAUAAUAUAAUUUGUAUCAAGUAUUCACGCGAUAUAUACGUUAUCCAAUAUCGGAUUCGGUUUCGAAAUAGCGCAGAUGCACGAACAAUCGAUGCAUCUGAAUUCAAACGCUACUUCAUCUCGAAACGUUUCCUAACCUCUAAAGUACUCGAGCUUUCAUUCGCGUCCAAUAGAAAUAGAUUAAUGAAUUCCCGAAGCCGGAUUUCCUCCUUACGCAUGAGAUAACAUCGGAUUAAACCUCGGUCGAUCGAUUUCCAUUUCUCCUUCGCGUCAACGCUCGUGACUUGCUCGUUUCGAUUCGGCCGGAGAUCGAAAUUGCCUGCCGGCAUUUAUUGUAAAUUAAUCUCGGGUAAACUCCACGAUUACAAAUUACUAUGCAUUUCCACGUAAUGCUUCAAUGCAGCACACUGUUCGCUGUAAAACGCUUCGAGGAGGAAGACGCUCGCGAGGGGGCAGAAUCACUUCUGUAUUACAAAAUAUCAUUACAUGGUGGCAUGAGCGCAAGUUAUGAGUUUCGUUUAUAAAUUUCCCCGUAGCGGUAUCUCAUUUAUUCGCGCAUUCGCUCGCACUGUGCUCAAUGUGCAAUUUUUCCCUUUCCUACGUA
rnacentral:misc_RNA from 1 species